GUGCCAGCCGCCGCGGUAAUACGGAGGGUGCAAGCGUUAAUCGGAAUUACUGGGCGUAAAGCGUGCGUAGGCGGUUUUUUAAGUCAGAUGUGAAAGCCCUGGGCUUAACCUGGGAACUGCAUUUGAUACUGGAAGACUAGAGUUGAGUAGAGGAGAGUGGAAUUUCAGGUGUAGCGGUGAAAUGCGUAGAGAUCUGAAGGAACACCAGUGGCGAAGGCGGCUCUCUGGACUCAAACUGACGCUGAGGUACGAAAGCGUGGGUAGCAAACAGGAUUAGAAACCCCGGUAGUCC
rnacentral:rRNA from 1 species